rnacentral:rRNA from 1 species
AGAGCGAACGCUGGCGGCAGGCUUAACACAUGCAAGUCGAGCGGGCGUAGCAAUACGUCAGCGGCAGACGGGUGAGUAACGCGUGGGAACAUACCUUUUGGUUCGGAACAACCCAGGGAAACUUGGGCUAAUACCGGAUAAGCCCUUACGGGGAAAGAUUUAUCGCCGAAAGAUUGGCCCGCGUCUGAUUAGCUAGUUGGUGAGGUAACGGCUCACCAAGGCGACGAUCAGUAGCUGGUCUGAGAGGAUGAUCAGCCACAUUGGGACUGAGACACGGCCCAAACUCCUACGGGAGGCAGCAGUGGGGAAUAUUGGACAAUGGGCGCAAGCCUGAUCCAGCCAUGCCGCGUGAGUGAUGAAGGCCCUAGGGUUGUAAAGCUCUUUUGUGGCGGAAGAUAAUGACGGUACCGCAAGAAUAAGCCCGGCUAACUUCGCGCCAGCAGCCGC